rnacentral:tRNA from 1 species
GCUGGAAUGUAGCUCAGUGGUAGAGCUCUUGCCUAGAUUGUGCCAGGGCUUGGGUUCAACCCUCAGUAUCAGAA